AAAUUCCUAUAGGAAAUUCCUAUAGGAAAUUCCUAUAGGAAAUUCCUAUAGGAAAAUUCCUAUAGGAAAAUUCCUAUAGGAAAUUCCUAUAGGAAAUUCCUAUAG